rnacentral:rRNA from 1 species
UUAGCAUAUAAGUUGGCGGUGGAAAAUGAACCAAAUGGGAUUCCUUAAGUAAUUGCGAAUGAACAAGGAAAUGCUYAGCUUGAAAAAUGGGGCCUUCGGCUUUGAAUUGUAAUUUUGAAAUGUAUUGCCAAUGGAGGCGCAGGUGCAAGCCUAUUGAAAGAAAGCGUCAAUGAGGGUGAGAUUCCUUUUUGUCAUUUGCAGUCCUCUGUGCACGGUAUAUAUUUGACGAGUCACACUCCUCGGCAUUGGAAUGCAAAGUGGGUGGUAAAUUCCAUGUAAAGGUAAAUAUAUUAUUGAGACUGAUAGCAAACAAGUACCAUGAGGGAAAUAUGAAAAGGACUUUGAAAAGAGAAUUAAAAGAGUCUGCAUUUGCUGAACAGAAAGCAAACAGAAUUGAUCUUGCCUGGUGAGAUUGUUGCGUCUACUUCUGCAUUUCUAUGUUGGAUGUGGGUGCGAUGGUUCUUGCCUUGAAUGUCAGCUUCUUUUUCUGCAAAUCAUUACCCUUGCACAUGAAUGGUAAUUUGCCUGCGGGUAUUGGAAUGCAUGUGUUUGCCAUGAUUUGUGAUUUGAUACAUGUGUAUGGUGGUACUUGUGUGUGUUCCUUUGUCAAAGGGGAAGGUUUGCUUCCUUGAGCACCACAAGCCCUUGCACAAUGUUGCUGGCA